GUGGGAAUAGCUCAGUUGUAGAGUGCCUGCUUAGCAUGCACGAGGUCCUGGGUUCAAUCCCCAGUACCUCCA
rnacentral:tRNA from 1 species